UCCAAUCUGAUUUUCUGAGCUUUUCUGAACUUUUUGUUUUGUUUUGUUCAUACGGUGAUACAAUCUGAUUUUCCAGCGACAAUUCUUAAUUUUUAAUAAAGAAAACUAAACCCUAAUAGGAUACAAUCUAGUGAACCCAAAGGUUGGAUCCGAAGAAGAUGAUUGAAGCGUUUAACAGCGAUGAAGCCACCAUUAUCAAGGCGAGGCUCACAGUCGUCAUCGCCGCUGUUCAUAAAGUCGAGAUUGAAAUUUAGUCAUUUUGUAAAUUAAGAUCUUAGCACCAACUUCUACUGCUUUCUUCUCACCACCGGUCCACCACACAAACCGCCGUUAUCACUGGAUCUCAUCAUCACCACCGUCUCAUUUUCAACGUCGUCUUUUCGUAUCUCUCCUCGUCGUCACCGGAUCUCACCGUCGUCAUCGGAUUUUACCAUCGUUACCGAAUCUUAUGAUCGUUACUACUUUCGGGUUCACUUGAUUUCAUCAUCCUCACAUUCACCAGAUUCCAUAACCUUCACCAUCAUCUCCACAAAUCAUUGUUGACCACAAAUCGUUGUUGAUAUCACAUAGUAUAAGUUUUGUUUAGGUUGAACAAUCGAAGAAAGAAAAUUGAGGACAAAAUUGUCUUUGUACAAUCUAAAAAAGCCUAAAUCUAUAAGUAUGGAUAGAAAGUCUUUAUCCUACAAUACUCAUGAAAAAAAAUGCCAAUCUCAUAAUUAACUCCAUAUAAAAUACCACAGCCAUGAGUUUUUAAAAAAAUGUCUCCCAAAUUGAAAGUUAUCAAUUUCGGGAGUCCUAGGCUAGGACUCCUAGCCAUUGCAAGUUGCUUCUAGAAAUCCUAACUAUUUCAUAUAAGAUGUAAAUUAUUUAAUAGAAUCACUGGCCACAAACUUCACUUAAGAUGCAUCAGAUCAGAUCAAUAACUCAGGCUAGAUUCUUUAUUUAAUAUGCAAUUUUUGUUUCCAAAAACCCAAGAAAUUAUUGCAAACGAUGAAAAAAAAAAAAAAAAA